UGCAUUCACUGUUGUAAGUCGCUCUGGAUAAGAGCGUCUGCUAAAUGACUCAAA
rfam:Salmo salar isolate Sally breed double haploid chromosome ssa10, whole genome shotgun sequence.